GCCAGGCAUGGUGGCGCGUGCCUGUAGUCCCAGCUACUUGGGAGGCUGAGUCAUGAGAAUCACUUGAACCCAGGAGGCAUAGUUUGCGGUGAGCAGAGAUCGUGCCACUGCAUUCCAGCCUGGGUGACAGGGGGAGACUCUGUCUCAA
rnacentral:SRP_RNA from 2 species